rnacentral:rRNA from 1 species
AUUGAACGCUGGCGGCAGGCCUAACACAUGCAAGUCGAACGAGUGGCGGACGGGUGAGUAAUGUCUGGGAAACUGCCUGAUGGAGGGGGAUAACUACUGGAAACGGUAGCUAAUACCGCAUACCAUCAGAUGUGCCCAGAUGGGCUUAGCUAUGUGGUGGGGGAACGGCUCACCAAGGCGACGAGCCCUAUCUGGUCUGAGAGGAUGACCAGCCACAUUGGAACUGAGACACGGUCCAGAUCCCUCCGGAAGGCAGCAGUGGGGAAUAUUGCACAAUGGCCGAAAGCCUGAUGCAGCCAUGCCGGGUGUAUGAAGAAGGCCUUCGGGUUGGAAAGUACUUUCAGCGGGGAGGCGUUACCCGCAGAGGAAGCACCGGCUAACUCCGUGCCAGCAGCCGCGGUAAUAC